GUGCCAGCCGCCGCGGUAAUACAGAGGGUGCAAGCGUUAAUCGGAAUUACUGGGCGUAAAGCGCGCGUAGGUGGUUCGUUAAGUUGGAUGUGAAAUCCCCGGGCUCAACCUGGGAACUGCAUUCAAAACUGACUGGCUAGAGUAUGGUAGAGGGUGGUGGAAUUUCCUGUGUAGCGGUGAAAUGCGUAGAUAUAGGAAGGAACACCAGUGGCGAAGGCGACCACCUGGACUGAUACUGACACUGAGGUGCGAAAGCGUGGGGAGCAAACAGGAUUAGAUACCCCUGUAGUCC
rnacentral:rRNA from 1 species